UAAGGAAUAUUGGUCAAUGGGCGCAAGCCUGAACCAGCCAUGCCGCGUGCAGGAAGACGGCCCUAUGGGUUGUAAACUGCUUUUAUCAGGGAAUAAACCCCCGCUCGUGAGCGGGGCUGAAGGUACCUGAAGAAUAAGCAUCGGCUAACUCCGUGCCAGCAGCCGCGGUAAUACGGAGGAUGCAAGCGUUAUCCGGAUUCAUUGGGUUUAAAGGGUGCGCAGGCGGAUUGGUAAGUCAGGGGUGAAAUCCCACAGCUCAACUGUGGAACUGCCUUCGAUACUGUCAGUCUAGAGUAUAGUUGAAGUGGGCGGAAUGUGUCAUGUAGCGGUGAAAUGCUUAGAUAUGACGCAGAACACCGAUCGCGAAGGCAGCUCGCUAAGCUAUAACUGACGCUCAUGCACGAAAGCGUGGGGAUCAAACAG
rnacentral:rRNA from 1 species